rnacentral:lncRNA from 1 species
UAGUGAUUACAAAAAAUGGGCAAUCAGAGAUACAAUCAAUUUACGUGAUACUCAAGAUUAAGACUGACAUGGAACUAUUCUUGCGUAAAACAAUUUAUUCCAUGCGAUAUCAUUUUUGAAAAUCUAAUAUUCAUAAGAACGCACUUUCCAUCACUGACGUGACAUCGCAUGCCUUCUUCAUUCAAAUUCCGAAUUAUUUUUAUUUUAAAAAUCCUUAUGGUCCGCUACGGCAAUCAAAGCAAUGAAAACAACCUGGCUUUGAGGCACUGAGGCUGACUCUAAGAGUAAUUGCCUCUGCUCAUCACAGCAGUGGGAGUGCUGAAACCGAUUCAUGGUGAUGGAUACCUCAUUCCCAGUGCUAACACAGACCUGAAACGCUCAAUUCCGCUCGUCAUUGGAAAGAUCAAGGACUUUUUAUUUAUUUAUUUUGAUUUUAAUUUUUAAAAUUUUUUCGGUCAUGUAUUGAGAGCUGAAAGACGAGGUGAUCUUUGGCAGUCCUUUUGAAAACGACAAUCUGGAAUAGCGUUACAGGUUGACUGUACCGAAAAAUCAAGUGCAUAUAUCUACUGAGAGGCUUCUAAAGAAAACUCGAUGCGUCUCACAUGCAGGAAUAUUCCUCCCCGUACCAAAGAUUUGGCAAUUAGACUAAACUCAACAACUGCAUGCUCCCACAAUCACUUCGACUCCAAUCCACGCAACUUUAAAACCUCCAAGAGAUCAACUCAUCGUAAACGAGUCAACAAACAAGGAAACUCCGUCAGCUCUGUUCUAAGUGUCCAGAACUCAACGCCUCGUCCCACCACGCCAGCGCUUGAUCAUCCCUCGAAGAAC